AGAGUUUGAUCAUGGCUCAGGAUGAACGCUAGCGGCAGGCUUAACACAUGCAAGUCGAGGGGUAUAGUUCUUCGGAAUUAGAGACCGGCGCACGGGUGCGUAACGCGUAUGCAAUCUACCUUUCACAGAGGGAUAGCCCAGAGAAAUUUGGAUUAAUACCUCAUAGUAUUAUGGAAUGGCAUCAUUCUGUAAUUAAAGUCACAACGGUGAAAGAUGAGCAUGCGUCCCAUUAGCUAGUUGGUAAGGUAACGGCUUACCAAGGCUACGAUGGGUAGGGGUCCUGAGAGGGAGAUCCCCCACACUGGUACUGAGACACGGACCAGACUCCUACGGGAGGCAGCAGUGAGGAAUAUUGGUCAAUGGGCGCAAGCCUGAACCAGCCAUGCCGCGUGCAGGAUGACGGUCCUAUGGAUUGUAAACUGCUUUUGCACAGGAAGAAACAACUCUACGUGUAGAGUCUUGACGGUACUGUGAGAAUAAGGAUCGGCUAACUCCGUGCCAGCAGCCGCGGUAAUACGGAGGAUCCAAGCGUUAUCCGGAAUCAUUGGGUUUAAAGGGUCCGUAGGCGGUUUAGUAAGUCAGUGGUGAAAGCCCAUCGCUCAACGGUGGAACGGCCAUUGAUACUGCUAGACUUGAAUUAUUAGGAAGUAACUAGAAUAUGUAGUGUAGCGGUGAAAUGCUUAGAGAUUACAUGGAAUACCAAUUGCGAAGGCAGGUUACUACUAAUGGAUUGACGCUGAUGGACGAAAGCGUGGGUAGCGAACAGGAUUAGAUACCCUAGUAGUCC
rnacentral:rRNA from 1 species